rnacentral:ncRNA from 1 species
CACCGCCCGUCACACCACGAGAGUUGGUUGCACCUGAAGUAGCAGGCCUAACCGCAAGGAGGGAUGCUCCGAGGGUGUGAUUAGCGAUUGGGGUGAAGUCGUAACAAGGUAUCCGUACGGGAACGUGCGGAUG